CCCGGAAGAUCGAUCGGGGAGAUUCAUCGUCAGCGGUCGCGGCUUGGCUCGCGGUUCGCGAUGCCCGGACCCCGUGUUCCCGGCACGCUUCCGCGCCACGCUCGCGGUCGCCGGCUUGCACUUUUCCCCUAGUAGGAUGUCGCGACCCGUUGGCCGUCGGUCUACGGCCCGGAUGGUCGCCUGUCCUCGGCGUUUACGCGUCGGGGGCAGACCUCCGGUUGCCCGGCCGGCUGCCCGGGGGUACCCGCACGGUUUCAAGCCGCAUUAAAUUGCGUCCGCCCCGCCGCAARCGCGGCAUCAAGAAUUCCCGGUGGUCGGACCUACCGCCGACCUCGGGCCUGGCCAGCUGUUCUCCGGCCGUUUUCUUGGACGGGCUCUUGUUCACCGGUCGGGGACGCUAAUGUUCCGGGUACUUUCA
rnacentral:rRNA from 1 species